rnacentral:lncRNA from 1 species
GGUACCGUUAUCUUUCUCCUCCUUUGAUUAUCUCUCACCAGUCACUAGUCUCCGGCAAAAACGUAACGCUCGAAAGUCUAUAACUAUUUGACCAUCCAAAAAGUGCUUUUUCUACCAUAUCCUAAUCAAGGGUAUUUUCGUCUGUUUGAUUUAUGCAUGUAAAAAUCUUAGGUAGAUUAAUGAAACCAUUUGAGGUAAUCUUGCCGGUUCACAUCGGAAUAUGCGAUCUGAGUUGGAAAGUUGAAUCUUGAAUGUAACUCUUAUCCGAUCUCUCGGUAGUCCUUGUUUAAUGGAUUAGCUAGCACAAGGUUAUUUUGGUCCAUUAACCCAUGUAUGAUUAAUUUUAGGCUAGCAAAGUUUAAGUUUCUUGUUAGAUUAUUUCAGUUUGGAUAGUGUUAGAUUUUGACUUUUUGUUAUGAUGACACGUGCAGGGUCACACAGCGUGGGAAGAACUCACUGUGUUAAGCUGGUCCAUCGUUUGUACCCUGAGGUGGACCCGUCCUUGAACCCGGACCACGUCCCUCACAUGCUACACAAGUGUCCUGACUCGAUCCCUGACCCAAAGGCUGUUCAGUACGUGCGUAAUGACCGUGGCACUCCCAUGGUGCUAGACAACAAUUACUACCGUAACAUCCUAGACAACAAGGGUUUGCUCCUUGUCGACCAUCAGCUCGCACACGACAAAAGGACCAGACCAAUUGUUAAGAAGAUGGCUAAGGACCAGGCCUACUUCUUCAAGGAGUUCACUAGAGCGAUCCAGAUCUUAUCCGAGAACAACCCUUUGACCGGCUCUAAGGGUGAGAUUAGGAAGCAAUGUAAUCUCGCAAACAAGAACCACUAAAGUUGGAAAAAAGUGAGAAAAGACAGAGGCUCUGGUGUGUUGGGGUUCUCUGCUUGGUACGUAUCGAAAC